rnacentral:rRNA from 1 species
UACGUAGGGGGCGAGCGUUGUCCGGAUUUAUUGGGCGUAAAGAGCUCGUAGGCGGUCUGUCGCGUCGGUCGUGAAAACUUGGGGCUUAACCCUGAGCUUGCGGUCGAUACGGGCAUGACUGGAGUUCGGUAGGGGAGACUGGAAUUCCUGGUGUAGCGGUGAAAUGCGCAGAUAUCAGGAGGAACACCAACAGCGAAGGCAGCACUCUGGGCCGGUACUGACGCUGAGGAGCGAAAAGUGUGGGGAGCGAACAGG